UUCAGGCCUAACACAUGCAAGUCGAACGGAAACGAUGGGAGCUUGCUCCCAGGCGUCGAGUGGCGGACGGGUGAGUAAUACUUAGGAAUCUACCCAGUAGCGGGGGACAACUCGGGGAAACUCGAGCUAAUACCGCAUACGCUCUACGGAGGAAAGCAGGGGAUCUUCGGACCUUGCACUAUUGGAUGAGCCUAAGUCGGAUUAGCUUGUUGGUGAGGUAAAGGCUCACCAAGGCGACGAUCCGUAGCUGGUCUGAGAGGACGAUCAGCCACACUGGGACUGAGACACGGCCCAGACUCCUACGGGAGGCAGCAGUGGGGAAUAUUGGACAAUGGGGGCAACCCUGAUCCAGCAAUGCCGCGUGUGUGAAGAAGGCCUGCGGGUUGUAAAGCACUUUCAGUAGAGAAGAAAAGCCUAGGGUUAAUACCCCUGAGUCUUGACGUUACCUACAGAAGAAGCUCCGGCUAACUCCGUGCCAGCAGCCGCGGUAAUACGGAGGGAGCGAGCGUUAAUCGGAAUUACUGGGCGUAAAGCGCACGUAGGCGGCUUUGUAAGUCGGAUGUGAAAGCCCCGGGCUUAACCUGGGAAUGGCAUUCGAUACUGCAUAGCUAGAGUAUGGUAGAGGGAAGUGGAAUUUCCGGUGUAGCGGUGAAAUGCGUAGAUAUCGGAAGGAACACCGAUGGCGAAGGCAACUUCCUGGGCCAAUACUGACGCUGAGGUGCGAAAGCGUGGGUAGCAAACAGGAUUAGAUACCCUGGUAGUCCACGCCGUAAACGAUGAGAACUAGAUGUCGGGAGGAUCUGCCUUUCGGUGUCGCAGCUAACGCGUUAAGUUCUCCGCCUGGGGAGUACGCCGGCAACGGUAAAACUCAAAGGAAUUGACGGGGACCCGCACAAGCGGUGGAGCAUGUGGUUUAAUUCGAUGCAACGCGAAGAACCUUACCUGCCCUUGACAUUGACAGAACCCUUUAGA
rnacentral:rRNA from 1 species